AACGAACGCUGGCGGCAGGCCUAACACAUGCAAGUCGAGCGAGGACUUCGGUUCUAGCGGCGGACGGGUGAGUAACGCGUGGGAAUGUGCCCUUCUCUACGGAAUAGCCCUGGGAAACUGGGAGUAAUACCGUAUACGCCCUAUUGGGGAAAGAUUUAUCGGAGAAGGAUCAGCCCGCGUUGGAUUAGGUAGUUGGUGGGGUAAUGGCCUACCUAGCCGACGAUCCAUAGCUGGUUUGAGAGGAUGAUCAGCCACACUGGGACUGAGACACGGCCCAGACUCCUACGGGAGGCAGCAGUGGGGAAUCUUAGACAAUGGGGGCAACCCUGAUCUAGCCAUGCCGCGUGAGUGAUGAAGGCCUUAGGGUUGUAAAGCUCUUUCAGCUGGGAAGAUAAUGACGGUACCAGCAGAAGAAGCCCCGGCUAACUCCGUG
rnacentral:rRNA from 1 species